GAUGAACGCUGGCGGCGUGCCUAAUACAUGAAAGUCGAGCGAAGAGGGGACGGGAGAGUAACACGUGGAUAACCUUCUAUAAGACUGGGAUAACUUCGGGAAACCGGAGCUAAACCGGAUACGUAUAGAAGGACCCGCGCUGCAUUAGCUAGUUGGGAAGGUAACGGCUUACCAAGGCAACGAUGAAUAGCCGACCUGAGAGUGUGAUCGGCCACACCAGAACUGAGACACGGUCCAGACUCCAACGGGAGGCAUCAGCUGGUAAUCUGCCGCAAUGGUCGCAAGCCUGACAGGGAGACGCCGCGUGAGUGAUGAAGGUCUUCGUAUCGUAAAACUCUGUUACGAGGGAAGCGGUACCUAAGCAGAAAACCACGGCUAACUACGUGCCAGCCACCGCGGUAGUAC
rnacentral:rRNA from 1 species